UAUUGGACAAUGGGGGAAACCCUGAUCCAGCCAUGCCGCGUGAGUGAUGAAGGCCCUAGGGUUGUAAAGCUCUUUCGGCGGGGAAGAUAAUGACGGUACCCGCAUAAGAAGCCCCGGCUAACUUCGUGCCAGCAGCCGCGGUAAUACGAAGGGGGCUAGCGUUGCUCGGAAUCACUGGGCGUAAAGCGCACGUAGGCGGACUCUUAAGUUAGAGGUGAAAUCCUGGAGCUCAACUCCAGAACUGCCUUUGAUACUGGGAGUCUCGAGUCCGGGAGAGGUGAGUGGAACUGCGAGUGUAGAGGUGAAAUUCGUAGAUAUUCGCAAGAACACCAGUGGCGAAGGCGGCUCACUGGCCCGGUACUGACGCUGAGGUGCGAAAGCGUGGGGAGCAAACAG
rnacentral:rRNA from 1 species